AGUGAACGCUGGCGGUAGGCCUAACAUAUGCAAGUCGAACGGCAGCACAGUAAGAGCUUGCUCUUACGGGUGGCGAGUGGCGGACGGGUGGGGAAUACAUCGGAAUCUACUUUUUCGUGGGGGAUAACGUAGGGAAACUUACGCUAAUACCGCAUACGACCUACGGGUGAAAGCAGGGGAUCUUCGGACCUUGCGCGAUUGAAUGAGCCGAUGUCGGAUUAGCUAGUUGGCGGGGUAAAGGCCCACCAAGGCGACGAUCCGUAGCUGGUCUGAGAGGAUGAUCAGCCACACUGGAACUGAGACACGGUCCAGACUCCUACGGGAGGCAGCAGUGGGGAAUAUUGGACAAUGGGCGCAAGCCUGAUCCAGCCAUACCGCGUGGGUGAAGAAGGCCUUCGGGUUGUAAAGCCCUUUUGUUGGGAAAGAAAAGCAGCAGGUUAAUACCCCGCUGUUCUGACGGUACCCAAAGAAUAAGCACCGGCUAACUUCGUG
rnacentral:rRNA from 1 species